CUGCCGCAGUAACUCUUAGCGGCGCUUGGUGCCUCUCGUCCUUGUGCUACAAGAGAUGAUGAGGGAAUUUAAACUCCUGAGCCAAAGAAGCAUGCGUGUUUAGGGUUAAACUGUUCUUUUAAACUGCAUGCUGAAACGCUCAAGUGAAGAACUUGGAAUUGGGAUGUCCUUUAUGGUUGAAACAUCCUGGACAAAUACGCAAAAUGGGUACUAAAUAAUGUAGCCAGCUUUUUGGCUUGAAAAGAGUGUCCUGGACUAAGAUAACCUCAUUUUCAUAUUAAACCCCUACGCUUCCUAGGUAGAAGACCGCUGCCCUACGUAAAUUCCUCACCCUAUGAGCAUGCGCGACAAUGGGUUUUGGCCACCUGGAUGGAGUAAGCCGUAACACCUCGUCCAGAUUGACUUGAGGGCUAACAGUGGGGAGAUGCUGCUCUGAAGGCUCCAGUGUACACGGACCUGACGAUCACACUCCCUGAGUAUUUUUCCCAUCCGAAGCAGUCUCCGGGAAUUUCACCUGACUACCAGAACUUUUCAGAUAUGGAGAGGGGCUUUACUGCUACAUCAGACAAUUCCUUCAGAACUCUGGGAUGCAUCUCAACAGUGCUGAGGUUCCUCAGUUGGUCCUGAACUUGAUCUUCCCUUGUGGUGGGAGAGACGAGGGACUUUAUUCCACUGGUCUGCACCUAGUGGCCAACGGGCUGAGGAGGGGAGAUGGAGCAAGACUGAGGCAAAAAAGUUACUGAGUACUUCUGAUCUGUUGACACCAGCUCUCUGUUCUCUCUCCUCACACAAGAAAUGUUUUCUUUAACCUUUUCUCUGCUGGUUCUGUAGAAGCCCUUCUGGUUAUUCUUCACAUCCCUUGCCAGGUUCAGCUCUAGCUGUGCCUUAGCCUUCCUGACCUAAUCUUUACACAAGAGAGCAGUGUUCCUGUGUUCCUCCCAUGUUACCUGUCCAUGCUUCCACUGUCUAUGCAGCUUCCUCUUGCUCUUUGUUUUGGUCUCUAUUCAGCCAUGCUGAUC